AUACUUACCUGACAGGGGAGACAUAAUGAUCAGAAAGGUGGUUUUUUCAGGGUAAGGCUUAUCCAUUGUACUCCAGAUACGCUGAGCCCUGAGAUUUCCCCAAAUGUGGGAAACUCAAUUCCAUAAUUUGUGGUAGUGGGAGACUGCAUUUGUGCUCUCCCCUG
rnacentral:snRNA from 1 species